GAAAAAUACCCUACAUGAAUUGGCACGGAACGGCCGCGAGAGGGCGUCACAGCGAUCUCAUUAUAUGACGUCAUCAUACUGACCAUAAAAGGCAGUUUUCAUGAAUGAAACUGUUGCGCAUGCGCACAUGCUUCACGUCUGUACCUCGAGUCGUUUCCACUUCGACAGAGUUCACGACGAUCUUUCGAAUGGUACCAAAAUCGUAUGAAUUCGUGGUUUUCUUCGACUUUAUAUUCCAUUUCUUUGGUGUCAACCUGAGGCGCAACAACUCGCGGAUUCCUUGGUGGUAUUUGAAUUUUGGUUGGCGGGAAGUGUCGUGCCCUUGUCGCGAUGUCGUCUUUCGGUCCAGAGUUUCUACAUACGUCACCUGAAAUUGCAGCGCCAUGAAGAGGUGGAAGCGUGCCUCCUGUGACAGCGACAACAUUUAAUACAUUGCCGUUAUUAAUGAAUAGUUUUCCCCACCCAAUUUUAAC